rnacentral:lncRNA from 1 species
UUUUUUUUUUUUUUUUUUAAACUAAAAAGGAUAGUGGCUGUAAUAGAAGGCUUUUCUGUGAGAGAUUCCUGAAGACAAAGUCAAUGUUUCUGAGGCCCAGGAUAGUUUCUUGGGCAACUAACCCCCCCCCCCCCAAGCCCCAGGCUCCUGCUCUGGCCCCAAACUAACAUGGCCCAAGGGCUUAGAGAAGAUGGUCCUCCACCCUGUCACACAUCUGCCCCACCUUUAGCUUCUGUUGCUGCACCUUGCUGGCUUGGUCAUGCUCUGUCAGCUUCUUACUUAGUUCUUCCACCUGAGGAGCAGAAAAAAACAAACAAGAAGAUGAAGAUGUAAUGGCUAAUCUUGGUUUUCAACUAGACCACAUCUGCAAACAGCUAAAACCCAAGCAACUGGGCACAGCUUAUGAGGGAUUUUUCUUGAUUCGAUCAUUUGAGGUAGGAAAAUCCACCUUAAAUCUGGGCCACAUCUUCUGGUGGCAGCCCACAUAAAAGGACAUAGAAGGAAGUUUUUGUACUUUGCCUGUUUGCCCUCACUCUCUUGUUCUGCAUAUGCAUAACCAGCUUAAAGAUUUCUAAGUUUGCCUUGGAAGAAUUAAAACCAAAAUUCAAGUACCUUCUUCCCCUGAAGAACCUUGAUAUACACAUAAAAGUUCAGUCCUUUCCCCAUUGAGGCCGUUUACAAGGGUAAUUGUACACCAGAGAAAGUAAACAACCCAACAUUCUGGGUCUACUAGAUAUUGGUUCUGGAUUAAUGCUGAUUCCAGGAGACCCCAAGAAACAGUGUGGCCCUCCAGUUAAAGUAGGGGCUUAUGGAGGUGAGGUGAUUAGUGGAGUUUGGGCUGAUGUCCAACUCAUAGCGGGGCCAGUAUUCCAGAAUGUAUAUUGGGUUAGAUAUAUUUACAAGUUGGCAAAAUUCCCACAGUGCUUCCCUCACCUGUGGAGUGAGGGCUCUGAUAGUUGAGAAGGCCAAAUGGAAGGCCAUUAAGAGUUGCCUCUAGCAGGGAAAGAUGCGGAGGUGAUGGUUCCCACCACAUCUCCCUUUAACUCUUAUCUGGCCAGUGCAGAAGACAGAUGGAUCAUGAAGAAUGACAGUUUGACUACUGCAAAUUUAAGUAGUGACUCCAAAUGCAGCUGCUGUACCAGAUAUGGUAUCCUUACUUGAGCAGAUUAACACAUCUCCUGGUACAUGGUAUGUUGCUAUUGAUCCAACAAAUGUCUUUUUCUCAAUACCUGUCCAUAAAUACCACCAGAAACAAUUUGCUUUCAAUUGACAAGCACAGCGGUAUACCUUCAAAGUUUUACCUUAAGGAGACAUUAAACAGCAUAUAUGAGCAGGAAGUAGCAACUACUUUGGACUUGUUGGUAACACAUGGAUAUCAGAGGAUAGGGAAUAAAUCCAAUCAAAAUUAAAGGGCCUUCUACCUCAAUGAAAUUCUUAGGAGUCCAGUGGUGCGGCCUACAGAGAUAUUCCUUCUAAGUGAAGAAUAAAUUAUUGCACCUGACCCUUCCCACCACCAAGAAAGCAGCAAAAACAUUCAGUGGGCCUAUCUGGAUUCUGGAGACAGCACAUUUCUCACUUGAGUGUGUUACACUGGCCCAUAUACCAAGUUACUUGAAAAGCUGCUAGCUUUGUAUGGGGCCUGGAACAGCAGAAGGCUCUUCUACAGGUCCAGGCUUCUGUGCAGGCUGCUCUCUGUCUACCACUUGGACCAGGAGACCCAAUGGUACUCAAGGGAUUUGGAAUAAGGUUCUACCAUUAUCUGCAGGCAAGUAUCCUCCCUUUGAGAAUGCCUACUGUCUCUAUUACCGUUACAAUGCCUUCUGCUCCCAAGCUUGCACCAGCAGCAUCAUAGAGUGUGUCCUAUGAUCCACUGACUGAAAAAGAGAAGACUAGGACUUGGUUUACUGAUGGUUCUGUACGUUAUGUCGGCAGCAUCCAGAAAUGGACAGCUGCAGCAUUACAACCCUUUUCUGGGACAACCCUGAAAAACAGCAGGUAAAGAGAAAUCUUCACAAUGUGCAGAACUUUAGGCAGUACAUAUGGCCAUCCAUUUUGUUUAGAAGGAGAAAUGGCCAGAUGUGCAACUGUUCAGAUUCAUGGGCUGUAGCAGAGACUGAUUGGCUGGAAACUUGGAAAGAGCAAGAAGAAAGAUAUCUAGGAAGUGAAGAUACGUGUGUCCUAUGUAAAUGCUAAUCAAAGGGUGACUUCAGCUAAGGAGUUGAAUAAUAAUUCUAUGGACAAUCAGCCUCUUUUCUCCAUCCAUUCCUGUCAUUGCCUAAAAGGUCCAUAAGCAAAGUGGCCACAGUGCAGAGAUGGAGGUUAAACAUGGGCUCAACAAUACAGACUUCCAUCACCAAGGCUGACUUGGCUACAGAUGCUGCCGAGUGUCAGAUCUGCUAGCAGCAGAGGUCGACACUGAGCUUUGCCUUACUGGAGAGAGAAUUAUUCUGGUUAUGGAUGUGCAUUUCCUGAGCAAAAUGCUUCUGCCAAAACUACCAUCGUAGGUUUACAGAAUACCUUAUGCAACAUCAUGAUAUUCCACACAGUAUUGCUUCUAACUCAUUUGCAGCCAGAGAGGUACAACAGUGGCCCAUGUUCAUGGAGUCCACUCAUCAUGAUCUCCACUGUCCUGAAGCAUCCCUUCUGAGAGAAAGACGGAAUGGCCCUUUGAAGGCCCAGUUACAAUGCCGGGAGGGUUGGGGUAGGGUUCUCCAGAAGGUUAGGUACAUGCUUUCAGUCAGUGUGCAAUAUAGUCAUGUUGUUAUAAAGUUAUGAAAACCAGCUAAAGCAGUGUUUCUCAGCCUUCCUAACGUUGUGACACUUUAAUACCACUCCUCAUAUUGUGGUGACCCCUGGCCAUAUAAUUAUUUUUGCUGAUACUUCAUAACUGUAAUUUUCUUAUUAUGAAUCACAAUGCCAAUAUCUGAUAAGCAAUGCCACGGAAGGGUCAUCCAACUCCCAAAUACAUCUUGAUCUACAGCUUGAGAGCGGCUGAGGGACCAGCUAUAGAAACACGGAUUAGAACUGACAGAAGUGUUUUUUCAUAGCUUGCUAAAAUAAUGUUUGUGUAUGUAUAGACGUUUAAAAUAGAUAUUUGUCUCUUAUUCCUUAGUUUAUCAUGUGAUGCAGCAUAAAAAGAGAUAGUAUCAGUGGUAAUUUUUAAGUUGUGAGACACUAGAAGAAUGUCUCUCAUGGAACAGUGCCAUCUACUCUAAAAUAUAUAAUGCAUUUGCAGUUGUACAUGGGAUAAAUAUUGCCUGAUAGGCAUAACUAUGAUCUAGUUAUUUUCACUUGGGAAUUUAAUGAAGCAUAAGGAGAUAUGACCAUGGGUGAAGCUGACAGGUGGUGGACUUGUACAUAAUGGCUAAUCUUGGCUUUGAACUUGAACAUCUGCAAUCAAAUAAAACCCAAGCACUCGCACACAGCUACAAGGGUUUUCUUGACUAGAUCAUCUGAGGUGGGAAAACCACUCUACAUCUGGGCCACACCUUCUGCUGGCAGCCCAUAUCAAAGCACACAGAAGUAAGCUUUGCUUUUUGCCUUCUUGCUCUCAAUCUUGCUGGCAAGUUUAUCUAUCCUACUAUCUAUCCUACUGCUGAGACAUUCCUCUGUGGGUAUUAGAGCCUACUUUUUUGGGACUCCAAUACAGACCAAAGAUCAGCUGAAGGAUCAGCUUUAUGGACUGAAUUGCCACCAGAUUAUUUUCUCUUCCAUCAAAAGACAGCUAUUGUUGAAACAGCCAGACCAUAGCAUGUAAGCUACUGUAAUACAUCUCCUUUUGAUAAAUAUAGACUCAAAUCAGUUGUGUUCCUCUGACCAACCAAAGGGUUUCUCCCACCCAUUAUUAUCCUCAGGCCCUUUCUCUACAUAGGUAACAUCCUGCUGUCCAAAGGUUGUCAGGGCCUGAGGUGGCCCCAAAUAGAUGUUACCAGGGUCACCUGACCAAACCACCACCAAAAUAAAUACCUGACUCUUCAGAGUCACCAUCUCUGUACAUCUCUACUGUAUCCUACUCCCGAGCCCAACCUAGAAAGCUUGGGGCAAGAACAGAGCACCUAUGGGGUUUGGAGAGAUGAUUAAGUGGUUAUACAUUCUAUGAGUUCUUGUAGAAGUUCUUGUGUUUGGUUCCCAGCUCCCACACGCCAGCUCAAAAUGAACUAUCACUUCAGUUUCAGUUUCUAAAAUCCUUUUCUAGUCCCUGUAGGCAGCAGGCAUGCAUAGAAUGCAUAUAUAUACCUAUAUAGGCUAGCACUCAUACAAAAGAAUUUAAAAAAAAUAGAAAAGAACAGAACACCUACUCUAGUGCUAAAACAUUGUCAAAGUACAUUCAUUUCUCCCUCCUCCCCCAAAAUAGCCAAAGCAAAGCCCCCAAACCUCUUUCCAAUCUCCAAGGCUGUUAGAGAGGCUAGCAGCAUGGCCACUGUGGUUAGCACUGGGAGAAAAGAAUGCUGGAGACAGAAGCAGGGCAGCACACAAUCCCAAGCCCCUCCCCCAACUACCACAAAGAGCAAAGGGAUCAUAACAGCCACAAGCACCCAUGUUUCCUCCAAGCAUUAUGGGAACUCAGGCAUGAACAGGCAGCAGAGGAAAGAGGCAAAAGGCUCCAUUGCUAACUGCUUGCUUUCCAAUUUGAUUAUCCCAUUUUCUUAGAAUGCCUGUAGAGACUAGGAGGGAGAGUGGAGAAAGUGAUAUGGGGUUGGAGAGAUGGCUCAGAGGUCAAGGGGACUGUCUUCUCUUUCAGGGGUCCUGAGUUCAAUUCCCAGCAACCACAAGGUGGUUCACAACCAUCUGUAAUGAGAUCUAGUGUCGUCUUCUGGCCUACAGGCCUACGCAGGAAGAUUACUAAGUAUCAACUCUGUAGCCUACCAACUAGGGAGGACAGAGAGGCCUGAGAAGGAUGGAGGCAGAGAUCUCUACUCCACUUCUACUCCUCCUGUUCCAGAAAGCUCUAUGUGAGUAUGGCUCUGCGAUGAGGCUCCAGGGUAUAGUGGCUGCAUCUUCUGAGCUGGUUGAGUUCCCUAUCCUCCAAGGGCUGCCUCAUUUGUCACCUUCAUACCUUGGAAACUUGUAGGGAAGAAGGGUAAUAAUGUAAACAAAGCCAUAUAAAUCUGUGUGCUUCCUCUUG